UACGAAGGGGGCUAGCGUUGCUCGGAGUCACUGGGCGUAAAGGGCGCGUAGGCGGACAGUUAAGUUGGGGGUGAAAGCCCGGGGCUCAACCUCGGAAUUGCCUUCAAUACUGGCUGUCUUGAGUGUGAGAGAGGUGUGUGGAACUCCGAGUGUAGAGGUGAAAUUCGUAGAUAUUCGGAAGAACACCAGUGGCGAAGGCGACACACUGGCUCACUACUGACGCUGAGGCGCGAAAGCGUGGGGAGCAAACAGG
rnacentral:rRNA from 1 species